AGUAAAUCUGCUGAUGCCACCAGCACACCGUUGAAACAUGACAAUACCAUGAAAAUUAUGGAGGAUGCAAACACAUCUGAUGUGGUGUGGCAGGGAACAGAAAGUCUUAACUAUACUAAAGAUGAGGCUGAUGGCGAAGAUGAAGAGUUUUUGAACCCGAAUAACCAUGCUGACUAGUUGAUUUAUAAUUGUGUUUCCUGUGAAGUAUGUUAUUGUGUUAUAGUUAACUGUGUUUCCACUUUGAUACUCAUUUGCAUUUCCAGUUUGAUUGGUGUUUCAUAUGUAAUUGUGUUUCUUGUUCAAUACUUGACAAAAUUCAGUGAACUAUUGUGGCAUUGAUCAAUAGUUUGAUAUGUAAUUGUGUUUCUUAUCUGAUACUUGUAUUCGUAUUUCCAGUUUGAAUCAUAAUGGCGUUUCAUGUGUUUCUUGUUCGAUGACUGUGAACUAUUGUCAUUGAUCAAUAGUUUGAUAUGUAAUUGUGUUUAUCUGAUACUUGUAUUCGUAUUUCCUGUUAAAUUCAUAAUGGUGUUUCUUGUGUUUCUUGUUCAAUACUUCAGUGAACUAUUGUGUAUCAAUAGUUUGAUAUGUAAUUGUGUUUCUUAUCUGAUACUUGUAUUCGUAUUUCCAGUUUGAAUCAUAAUGGUGUUUCAUGCGUUUCUUGUUCGAUAUUUGUCAGGACUCUGUGAACUAUUCUGUCAUUGAUCAAUAGUUUGAUAUGUAAUUGUGUUUAUCUGAUACUUGUAUUCGUAUUUCCUGUUAAAUUCAUAAUGGUGAUUCAUGUGUUUCUUGUUCAAUACUUCAGUGAACUAUUGUGUAUCAAUAGUUUGAUAUGUAAUUGUGUUUCUUAUCUGAUACUUGUGUUCGUAUUUCCAGUUUGAAUCAUAAUGGUGUUUCAUGUGUUUCUUGUUCGAUAUUUGUCAGGACUCUGUGAACUAUUCUGUCAUUGAUCAAUAGUUUGAUAUGUAAUUGUGUUUAUCUGAUACUUGUAUUUGUAUUUCCUGUUAAAUUCAUAAUGGUGUUUCAUGUGUUUCUUGUUCAAUACUUCAGUGAACUAUUGUGUAUCAAAAGUUUGAUGUGUAAUUGUGUUUCUUGUUUGAUACUAUAGUAUUUGUAUUUCCAGUUUGAAUCAUAAUGGUGUUUCAUGCGUUUCUUGUUCGAUACUUGUCAGGACUCAGUGAACUAUUCUGUCAUUGAUCAGUAGUUUGAUAGGUAUGUGUUUCUUAUCUGAUACUUGUAUUCGUAUUUCCAGUUAGAUUCAUUAAGGUGUUUCAUGUGUUUCUUGUUCGAUAUUUGUCAGGGCUCAGUGAACUAUUCUGUCAUUGAUAAUAGUUUGACAUGUAAUUGUGAUUGUAGAUUACUUGAGACGGCUCAUACAUGUUACAAGUUCUUUCU